GACGAACGCUGGCGGCGUGCUUAACACAUGCAAGUCGAACGGAAAGGCCCUGCUUUUGUGGGGUGCUCGAGUGGCGAACGGGUGAGUAACACGUGAGUAACCUGCCCUUGACUUUGGGAUAACUUCAGGAAACUGGGGCUAAUACCGGAUAGGAGCUCCUGCUGCAUGGUGGGGGUUGGAAAGUUUCGGCGGUUGGGGAUGGACUCGCGGCUUAUCAGCUUGUUGGUGGGGUUGUGGCUUAGCAAGGCUAUGACGGGAAGCCGGCCUGAGAGGGUGACCGGACACGUUGGGACUGAGCUACGGCACAGACCAGUAUGGGACGGAAGGGUGGAGUAUAGUAUACUGCAGGAGGAAGCCUGAUGCAGCAACGCCGCGUGGGGGAUGACGGGCUGCGGGUUGGAAAGCGCUUUCGUGUGUGACGAGGAGAGAGUGACGGUACUGUGUAAAGAAGCACCGGCUAACUACGUG
rnacentral:rRNA from 1 species